rnacentral:rRNA from 1 species
GACAGAGGGUGCAAACGUUGUUCGGAAUCACUGGGCGUAAAGCGUCUGUAGGUGGUCAAAUAAGUCAACUGUUAAAUCUUGAGGCUCAACCUCAAAAUCGCAGUCGAAACUAUUAGACUAGAGUAUAGUAGGGGUAAAGGGAAUUUCCAGUGGAGCGGUGAAAUGCGUAGAUAUUGGAAAGAACACCGAUGGCGAAGGCACUUUACUGGGCUAUUACUAACACUCAGAGACGAAAGCUAGGGUAGCAAAUGGG